UAAGAGUUACUGUUGUUUAUUUUUCUUCCAAAACAACGCAGCCAUAGAACCAUUAUUCCCUCCUCUUCCUUGCUUGCUGUGGCCACUAUCCAGGAUACUAUUGAGAAUUUCAGUGUGAAUUUAGGGUGCACUGAGCUGAGAAGGCCUUUUGCAUUCACCCUGUCUGGGGAAUCCAGACAGUUGAGUCUCUCAAAGAAAAGCAAGUUUGCUUCAUGCAAGGAAUCCUAAGGAAGAGUGGCUUUCAAAUAAGCAAAAUGGCAUAUAUUUAAAGCUACAUUUAAUAUCAGAUUUUUUUUAAGAGAGUCUGGUUCCCAGAAUUCAAAUAGAAUGUCAAAGUAAUGUACUACCAUGGAUUUCAAUGGGAGGUUAAGUGCUUUUUGAAACUAAAUUGCAUUAAGUACUUACCUGCAUCAUCUUAAAAUAAAAAAACACGUCAACUCUAAGAGGUCGUUACUUUGCAGACAUUCCAAUUGACUUACAAAACGACCUCCUUAACAAGCCCAGCUGGAAGUGAUUCAGUCCAGCUGGUGGUAAUACGGAUCAGCUACCUCCAGUUUCUUGGGGUGUGCUUGCUGCUAGCUGGGUUUCCUUUGCUCUGAUGGACCCUUUGGGUAUGGAGAGCUAUCUUAGGUGUGAUGAUUAGAUUACCCUGACUAGCAAGGGCUUCUUUACAUAUGCAAGGCUUGUUCCUGAUGAAGAUAGGGGCAGUUCUUGUUGUUGAGUUUUCUGUCAGAGGAGAUUAAUUAUUUCAUUCUGACUUAAUAAAUGGCACGGUUAGUGCUGAUGAAAUGAAAUUGUAGUGAAAUGAGGUCGAUAGUCUGCUUUUGAAUGGUGUAGCACUAGAUCAGAGUUCAUCUAUUAAAACCUUGACUCUGAAUGAUCAACUGAUGUACAGGAUUUUUGCACCAUGCUUUGUCCUGCGAAGAUUUCACCGCUAUUUUUCAAGGACAUGACUGCUGUUUUUGUGUUGGGUUUUCAGCUCACAAAGGAUCACCACUUGUAGAGGAACAAAGAUCACCUAAUUCAACUGUUUACAGGUGUACCUGGCACCACUCCCAACGUACAAGGUGGGGAGCAUUUGACUUCAGCAGGACUAAUAAUCUGAAGGCAUGUUUCUUCUUAUAAGUGAUCUUGUUUAAAUAAGCUGUGUUUGACAGAGAAGGCUACAGUGUACUCCUGUGUGUUUCCCAAGAUUGCACAAAGAUGUCAGGGCUAUUUCCAUUUUCUCCGGUUAGGUUAGUUUCAAGGAGUUACAAGCAUUAACAUCUCCUUUGCUUUAAGAGCCCUGGCAAGGAUUUCUGCUUCUCUCCCACUCCCAUACUUUUAAUCAUACAUUAGGCUCUGGGAAGACUAUAAACUGCUGCACUAUAAUGCUGCACUAAUACAACAAAUUGAUAGUAUCCCUGAGUUACCUAUGACAGAGAGAGAAGUCAGCAUGGUGUACUGACUUGUGGAACAUUCAGCUGUGUUGAUGUCAUCUAUACUAACUAGAUUGAGGAAAGGGACAUCUUCACUAAAGAUACAGAUAACUUUGAGGUAUGCAAAGAAGAGCAAAAAGAAAGAGAAUAAAGCUGAAUGAGCUUGCUGAGUGGGGUAUACAGCUUUUAAACAUAGGAAUUAAUACAUUUUUCAAUGGUUAGUUUCAAGAAAAUAAAAUGUUGGAUGCAUGUCAGAAAUAUGCUUGUAUUUUUCCCUAGAGAUAAGAACUCUGCCAGAAACUUAACCAAAUAUAUUUCACUUUUUGUCUAUUGUUUUGAACUCUUCCAUACUACAUUCAGACCAGGAAGGUCAUCCAUAAGCAGUGAAGCACUUGUCAUGCUGUUAAAUAGUAACAUGUACUGGGAAAGGUGCUUUAUCUGGAUUAUUGGAAUCCUAGCUAAAACCGGACUGUUCUUUCUUUAUCUGUUUAACAGUCAUAAAAUCUUCUGACAGAUACAUAAAUUACUAAGUCUCUUGAAAAAACUGUCUUGUUUUGUUCAAAGAUCUUUUGCUGACUGCUUCCAAUCCAAGGUGUUCCUAUGCUGAUAGCAUCUUGUUCUCCUAAAUGAAUUUCUUGUAAAAAGUUGGUGUCAGCUUUUUCUGUUUCAACAAUUUUUUUGUAGUCAUAACUUUCAGCCAUUUAUGUUCCACAUUACAAAUUCAAUUAUUUUAUUUGCCAUCAUUCACCUCUGUAAUAUUUGACCAUUUGAUAUACCAUGCAAUGUCAUUGUGAAGAUUUAGCGUAACUAUAAAGAGACCAGCAUAUUCUGAAGCUAUUUGUUUGGAGAUGUUGAUUUUUUCAGAGUAGUUAAUACAUCAGUAUAACACUUAGAAACAUAGUUGAACGUUUUGCAUAUUUUGACACUUUAUUUUUCUA